AUAACAUGGAAUUUAAGGUCCUGUCCAACCUAAGCCAUUGUGUGAUUCCAGGACAACAGAUCUGUGAAAACCAGGCCCCAAAGCUUUGCAAUGCAGUCGGUGCCAGGACUCUUCUCCAGAGCAGCUGGUUGGUUUGGAGCAGGACACAUUCCAAGACACCCAGUUCCUGGCAUUGGCUUGGUCACAGCGACAUCAGACCCCUGGAGUUCUGCUGAUGUUGCUCAUUAUUGGCUUGAAGUGUCGCUGCUGCUUGGAAAUGUGGAGUUGCAGUCAGAGAAAGUUCAGUUUGGGGUCAAGUUUCCCAAAAUAGCCCCGAGCUGGGCCAGGCAGAGGAGGAUCUGAUCCCCUGCCAUGGAGAGGGGGGUGUGGAUCUGACCUCCUGCAUCCACUGAGGAGCUCCUGCGAGCACCAGUGUCACUCAUCAGGGAGAAACCUGCCCCAAGUGGCCCAUCUUCAGCACCAGGGGUUCAGCUUUGCUCUGUGGGAAAGCUGGAAUUUGCCCAAGCAGGAAUUUGUCUGUGCAGGAUCCUUGUGCAGCAGGAACCAUCCCCUGGGCAGUCACAUUCCCAGCACUGAGUGUUUCCCUGCUCCCAGUUCCAUCCUCUCAAUAGGAAUAAAAAGCUGUCUGAUGCCAAGGACCCCGUUGUUUCCUGCCCCAGAGAUCCCAGUACCCUAAAGGACAUUUAAUACUAUAACUGUGAGCGAGGAGGAACCGAAAUAUUUCUUCAAGACACCUGAGCUCCUGCAGCACUGAGAGCUUUGGGAGCUGACCCUGCCACAGGUGUCCACCCUGCCAUGGAGGAGCAUCUUCACCUGCUGAUGGGUCAGAAAACUUGCAGGAUCAUUGAGGUUGGAAAAGCCCAGCCAGCACCGAUUCAUCCCCAAGGUGCACAUUAAAGACAAAAUGAUAAGCUGGUCUGAGAUGUGUCAGAGAAACCAUAUCAUGUCUCACCUCCCCUGGUAAAACAGGAUCUACACAAAGAAACUCCCGUUCCAGGAACACCGGGAAGAUGAAGAGAGAAGAAAAUGAAGUCCCAGGGGAUGACAGGCAUCUCUUGGUGUUCAGGAACUCCUCAUGAGAUGGUGUCUUCUUGCACUGAUUCAUCCCCAAGCCUGUCCUGGUGCAUCUGGUGGCAGAACAGCUGCUCAGUUAGAUCCUGCUCUCGGGGAUUCAGGAACUGGACAUCAAACAAAACGUGGAGGGCCCAGGACUUGGCUCAUCUGUGUGCUCAGAACCAGCCCCAGCUGCCUCAAGCUGCUGCUGAAGUGAUUUUUUUCUAGAAGCAGAUUGAAGGAAGGACCUCAAGUGCAGCUCAGAUGUGGAAAAAAGACUCCUCCAAGUGAGGACAGUGUUUGGUGGCCUCGAAGUUUCCAGCAGAUGGUUCCCCCAGGGCUGAUCACAGCUUCAGCUCUCACUGAUUUGGCAAUUUUGGUUGGCUUCCUGCCAAAACCCACCUAAAAAUAGCAAGCAGAGAAGUUUGGGAAGUGGGACAAGAGCAAGGUCAGCUGGGAUGGAACCAGCACCAGUCUCCUGCCAUCACCUCCAAGUAUCAGGAGCUUAAUUGCAGAUCAAUGGAUUUUAAUUGGCUUCAGCUCACCUUGGAGUUCCCAUUUCAGCCACGCAGAAGAAUUUGGAACAGCAGCACUGGGGAGUUCCACCAAGGUGGAGCCUGGACCUGCUUGAGGGAGAGUUUUGGAGAGGCCUGUGGUUGCUUCCACAGAGACUUCAGGCUCUUGUCAAAGCCUCCUUCUCAGCUCCCACGACAAGUGCCCUUGGAUAAAGAAAUGUUGUAUUUUCAAUGCCUGACACGGAGGGUUAGAACAAAAACCCCUCUGGGAAGGAACCGGUGAGCUGUAGGACUUCAGGAGAGCACUUCAGGAGAGCACUCGUGUUUUCCAUGGAGCAGCAUGGAAUUCCUGCCCCUGACAGCCCUGCUGGGGAGCCUGUGUGGAGCUCUGAGCCCUGAUAUCCUGCAGGAUCUGGUUUUCCUUUUCCAGCCCCCCAGCACAGCAUGGAUGUGACAGAGGAACGUGUCCUGCUGCCUGGGACAAGGAAUUUCCGUGGAUGUGACAGGGGAUGUGUCCUGCUGCCUGGGACAAGGAAUUUCCAUGGAUGUGACAGAGGAACGUGUCCUGCUGCCUGGGACAAGGAAUUUCCAUGGAUGUGACAGGGGAACGUGUCCUGCUGCCUGGGACAAGGAAUUUCCAUGGAUGUGACAGGGGAACGUGUCCUGCUACCUGGGACAAGGAAUUUCUGUGGAUGUGACAGGGGAAUGUGUCCUGCUGCCUGGGACAAGGAAUUUCCAUGGAUGUGACAGGGGAACAUGUCCUGCUGCCUGGGACAAGGAAUUUCCAUGGAUGUGACAGGGAUACGUGUCCUGCUGCCUGGGACAAGGAAUUUCCAUGGAUGUGACAGGGAUACGUGUCCUGCUGCCUGGGACAAGGAAUUUCCAUGGAUGUGACAGGGGAACGUGUCCUGCUGCCUGGGACAAGGAAUUUCCAUGGAUGUGACAGGGGAACAUGUCCUGCUGCCUGGGACAAGGAAUUUCCGUGCCAGGACGUGACAUUCAGCCACUGGUGUUCCAUCCCACAUCCAGAGGGGCUCCAUGGAUGGCUCAGGUGGCUCUUUCCCUAAAUGCUAAAACAGCUGCAGCAGUUGGAAAAUGCCAGUCUCAUUGGGAUUAUUCAGGAUAUCCCUCCCAAAUGGCUUCACUGGUGUGUCCUGCAGCAUUCCCCAGGUGCCACGUCUGGACACAAAGCUGCUGCUUGAGACUGGAGCACAGCUGAGCUUUGAAGCAGAGGAGAAACAUGUCUGAGGGUCACGGACAUCUCCAGUCUGGGAGGAUGUGCAAGAAGACACCAUCUCAUGAGGAAUUCCUGAACACCAAGAGAUGCCUGUCAUCCCCUGGGACUUCAUUUUCUUCUCUCUUCAUCUUCCCGGUGUUCCUGGAACGGGAGUUUCUGUAGAACAAGAUACAGUGGGCAAAAUGGAACUUUUGAAGGGCAUACCAAUAUUUUUGCACAAAGCACUUUUAAAACUCAGGAGUGUUUUGGUUUAUGGCUGGGGAGGUUUUUGGGAGUGCUGCCUGUCUCUAACUGGGGCUCUGGGCUGGUGGAAGGUGGGCAUCGGGCACGGGGGGAUCCAGGGCUGGGAGGGCUUUUCCAGCCUCAGGGAUUCUGUGUGAAACACCUCAGAGAUCCAGCAGGCACCCAGAAUUCUCCACUCAAUUAGAACAAGCUCAUUCAAGGCAGCAGCACCUUUCAGGCCUUUUUAAUAAAUCUUUCCAUAAUUUAGAAAUUUUUAAUAUCUACAUGAAAAUUGUCAGAUUUUGAUUUCGAAGCUCUGUUUUCUUUACUCCUGUAAAUUUUUCUCCACGCACAAUGUGAGGUUUUUCCUGGAACAAGAUAAGACUCCUUUUGGUCUUUCCCCAACCUUCUGUAGCUCCCCAGGCUUUGUCCCAUCCCUGGGAGUGUCCAAGGCCAGGUUGGAGCAACCUGGGCUGGUGGAAGGUGUCCCUGCCCAGGGCAGGGGUGGCACUGGGUGGGCUUUGAGAUCCCUUCCAACCAACCCAGCCUGGGAUUCUACACCAAACAGGAAAAUAAAUAAAUUAAGGCUUUCAGUUUAUUGAAAUGUCGUUUUCAGUCUGCUCCAAACAGGUUUGUGAUGGAUUCCCU